UUUACUAAAGAUUAUCCCUCUAGGAAGAAGAAUAAACCAAUUCAAAAUAGUAUUAUAUGUGGUUGAAAGGAAUAUGACUCUGGCCCCUGCCAGUGCUAUGUGCAUUAUUAGGAGAUGAAUUGUGGUUUCGUUGGCAGUCACAUGGUGCUGGGAUGAUGGGAGCAGUCUCCAUGUGCCUGUACCCCCUUUUUAUCCAAUCAUUUAUAUUAUUUUCCGCCUAGUAAUUUGUCUUUCGAUCUUUGUCUUUGAACAGUAUAAAACUAUGAUUUAUAUUUUUAGGGAGACAUGAAAUUGGUGAACUAGCUAGUAGUUGUGUUAAUUCUUGUGUUUAGUCCAUGUACCCCAUCUGCACAUGGACAUGGAGAUUGUAAUAACUGCUGCAUUAGUUAUCCAAUCAUAAUGUCCUAUUUGAUCUAGUAAUGGUUCGUAAAUGGAGGAACAUCAUGUACUUGUAUUUUUGUAUCUGCUGGUGCCCAUAAGCAUGGUGGUUGAGAUGGGAAUUGAUUCCUUGCCUUUAAAAUAAUGCAGGUGCCUUAGCUGGAGAUUU
rnacentral:lncRNA from 1 species